rnacentral:rRNA from 1 species
ACGGGUGAGUAACGCGUGGGUAACCUGCCUCAUACUGGGGAAUAACAGCCGGAAACGGUUGCUAAAACCGCAUAAGAUGCUAACAUCGCAUGAUGACUGCAUUAAAUAUUUAUAGGUAUGAGAUGGGCCCGCGUCUGAUUAGCUAGUUGGUGAGAUAAAAGCUCACCAAGGCGACGAUCAGUAGCCGGCUUGAGAGAGUGACCGGCCACAUUGGGACUGAGACACGGCCUAAACUCCUACGGGAGGCAGCAGUGGGGAAUAUUGCACAAUGGGGGAAACCCUGAUGCAGCGACGCCGCGUGAGUGAAGAAGUAUUUCGGUAUGUAAAGCUCUAUCAGCAGGGAAGAAAUUGACGGUACCUGACUAAGAAGCCCCGGCUAACUACGUGCCAGCAGCCGCGGUAAUACGUAGGGGGCAAGCGUUAUCCGGAUUUACUGGGUGUAAAGGGAGCGUAGGUGGCAAAUCAAGUCAGAUGUGAAAGCCCGGGGCUCAACCCCGGGAUUGCAUCUGAAACUGGUAUGCUAGAGUGCAGGAGAGGUAAGUGGAAUUCCUAGUGUAGCGGUGAA